AUAUAUAUAUAAUUUUAUUUAUUAAUAUUUUUAAAUGAUAUUAUUAAUAUAUAUUUAUUAUAAUUUUAAAUAUAUUUAAUUUAUAUAUAAAAAUUAUAAUAAUAAUAUAUAAUAUAUUAAUUAUUAUAUAUUUAUUAUAUAGUCGAAUUUUUGAUUCCGAAUUUUUAAUUGAUAAACGUAUAAUAUCCGUAUAAAUCACGUAUCCGAAUAAUUACCGAAUCCGUUUUUUAGCCGUAUUAACGAAUUUAAAAAUGAAUUUAAAAAUUAGAAGACGAAUUUAUCUGAAUUAUAUCUGUACCGAAUUUUUGCCGAAUCCGAAUUAACUAACUAUGCUACCAACACUAUGCAUAAUUUUGUACAUUUUAAUCAUUUUAUUUAUAAAUAGUUUAUGGCCAAUUUGCAUAAAAAAUUCACUUAUUUUGGGCUUUUGCAAAACUAGACCACCUUUUUCGUUUUUGCAUAUUCGGUCCACUUUUUCAGCAAACUGACCAAAAUACCCUUAUACUUUUUUCUCUCUCCUCUUUUUUUUCUCGUUCUUUUUUUCUUUCUCUUCCCAGAGAGCGGC
rnacentral:lncRNA from 1 species